GACGAAGGUGGCGAGCGUUGUUCGGAAUCACUGGGCAUAAAGCGCACGUAGGCGGUUCGUUAUGUCGGAUGUGAAAGCCCUUGGCUUAACCGAGGAAGUGCAUCCGAAACUGGCGAGCUAGAGUACUAAAGAGGAUCGCGGAAUUCCCGGUGUAGAGGUGAAAUUCGUAGAUAUCGGGAGGAACACCGGUGGCGAAGGCGGCGAUCUGGGUAGAUACUGACGCUGAGGUGCGAAAGCGUGGGGAGCAAACAGG
rnacentral:rRNA from 1 species